UACGUAGGCAGCGAGCGUUGUUCGGAAUUACUGGGCGUAAAGAGUGUGUAGGCGGUGCUCUAAGUUCGGUGUGAAAUCUCCUGCUUAACUGGGAGGGUGCGCCGGAAACUGGAGUGCUUGAGCGUGGGAGAGGAAAGCGGAAUUCCUGGUGUAGCGGUGAAAUGCGUAGAUAUCAGGAGGAACACCAGCGGUGUAGACGGCUUUCUGGACCAUUGCUGACGCUGAGACACGAAAGCGUGGGUAGCAAACAGG
rnacentral:rRNA from 1 species